CGGCAAUGGGUCUACAUAACAAAAAUAAUACACUGUAGAUGAAGACUAUAAUGUUAAUAAUUACUCUUGCUCAUAAUAUUACUUCACAAGAUACUUUAUUGAAUAUAGACCAUUUCUACAGUGGACAAACUUACGAGGCGCUUUAGAAAGAAGACAAAGUCACACAUGACAAGUAUUGUACCUCAGACAUAACUGAGAAGAAAAAUUGUUUAGAAGGAGAAGAGUUGAAGAAAUUUUAAACAAUAUGCAAGACCUGUCAACCACCAAUAGGAAGAAGACAAGUAACAUCACUUUUGGGUUCAGGCUCCCUAAACUUGUCUCUUCCACCUUGCCUGCCUUUAAACUGGCUCCAGAGAGGACCCAGGCCAAUAAGUCCUGCAAUUCCCAUUAUUUCUCAUAGCUAGCUGCAUCCUUCAUCAAAACACAAGCCAAGUGAUCUACCAACAUCUUGCCUUAGUCACCAUUUUGGACUUGUGUUUGAAAGAGGUUACUUCUUCUCUUUCAAUUUGCCUUAUUUUUAGCAGAUUAUAUGAUAAUCACUGGCUGGUGCCCCAAAGUUUAAUGGUCACUUUUAACUUUUGUCUUACAACAUUUACAGAACAAAUUAUUUGGGACAACGGUACACCUGCUUAUCUAAGUA